UAGGGAAUCUUCGGCAAUGGACGGAAGUCUGACCGAGCAACGCCGCGUGAGUGAAGAAGGUUUUCGGAUCGUAAAGCUCUGUUGUUAGAGAAGAACGCUGGUAGGAGUGGAAAAUCUACCAAGUGACGGUAACUAACCAGAAAGGGACGGCUAACUACGUGCCAGCAGCCGCGGUAAUACGUAGGUCCCGAGCGUUGUCCGGAUUUAUUGGGCGUAAAGCGAGCGCAGGCGGUUCUUUAAGUCUGAAGUUAAAGGCAGUGGCUUAACCAGUGUACGCUUUGGAAACUGGAGGACUUGAGUGCAGAAGGGGAGAGUGGAAUUCCAUGUGUAGCGGUGAAAUGCGUAGAUAUAUGGAGGAACACCGGUGGCGAGAGCGGCUUUCGGGUCUGUACCUGACGCUGAGGCUCGAAAGCGUGGGGAGAAAACAGG
rnacentral:rRNA from 1 species